UACGUAGGGGGCAAGCGUUUGUCCGGAUUUAUUAGGCGUAAAGAGCGUGUAGGCGGUUUGGUAGGUCCGUUGUGAAAACUCGAGGCUCAACCUCGAGACGCCGGCGGAAACCAUCAGGCUAGAGUCCGGAAGAGGAGAGUGGGAAUUCCUGGUGUAGCGGUGAAAUGCGCAGAUAUCAGGAAGAACACCCGUGGCUAAGGCGGCUCUCUAGUACGGUACUGACGCUGAGACGCGAAAGCGUGGGGAGCGAACAGG
rnacentral:rRNA from 1 species